rnacentral:rRNA from 1 species
CAUGUCUAAGUAUAAGCAAUUAUACCGCGAAACUGCGAAUGGCUCAUUAUAUAAGUUAUCGUUUAUUUGAUAGCACAUUUACCUACUUGGAUAACCGUGGUAAUUCUAGAGCUAAUACAUGCUAAAAAUCCCGACUUCGGAAGGGAUGUAUUUAUUAGAUUAAAAGCCAACGCCCUUCGGGGCUUCUUGGUGAUUCAUGAUAACUGGUCGAAUCGCAUGGCCUUGCGCCGGCGAUGGUUCAUUCAAAUUUCUUCCCUAUCAACUUUCGAUGCGAAGGUCUUGUCUUCGCAUGGUUGCAACGGGUAACGGAGGGUUAGGGCUCGACCCCGGAGAAGGAGCCUGAGAAACGGCUACUACAUCCAAGGAAGGCAGCAGGCGCGCAAAUUACCCAAUCCCGACACGGGGAGGUAGUGACAAUAAAUACUGAUACAGGGCUCUUUUGGGUCUUGUAAUCGGAAUGAGUACAAUUUAAAUCCCUUAACGAGGAACAAU